rnacentral:misc_RNA from 1 species
GAUGAAGAACGUAGCGAAAUGCGAUACGUAGUGUGAAUUGCAGAAUUCAGUGAAUCAUCGAAUCUUUGAACGCACAUUGCACCUCUCGGUAUUCCGGGAGGUAUGCCUGUUCGAGCGUCAUUUGUACCCUCAAGCUCUGCUUGGUGUUGGGUGUUUGUUCCGCCUCUGUGUGUGAACUCGCCUCAAAACAAUUGGCAGCCGGCGUACUUGUUUCGGAGCGCAGCACAUUUUGCGAUCCAGAUCAACGUACAGCGGCAUCCAAGAAGCCUUAUUUAACGCUAUUGACCUCGGAUCAGGUAGGGAUACCCGCUGAACUUAAGCAUAUCAAUAAGCGGAGGA